rnacentral:rRNA from 1 species
UACGUAGGGUGCGAGCGUUAAUCGGAAUUACUGGGCGUAAAGUGUGCGCAGGCGGCCGAGCAAGUCGAGUGUGAAAGCCCCGGGCUUAACUUGGGAAUUGCGCUCGAAACUACUUGGCUGGAGUGUGGCAGAGGGGGGUGGAAUUCCACGUGUAGCGGUGAAAUGCGUAGAGAUGUGGAGGAACACCAAUGGCGAAGGCAGCCCCCUGGGCAAACACUGACGCUCAGGCACGAAAGCGUGGGGAGCAAACAGG